rnacentral:lncRNA from 1 species
GGCGGCGACUGUCGGGCUUCAGACGUCAUCUGGCUGCGCCGAGCUGGCCGUUGCUUAUCUGUUGCUAGGGGGUGCCUACAGCCGAGUCGCUCUGUCAGGAUCAUGCCUGACAGGGACAGAUUUCUUGGUCAGCAGAGGCCACUAGGCUUGGAUGAAAGAAGCAGGGCAGAUGCAAAAUCUGGAGAGCGUGUGCGCUGGGCGGUCAGUCAGCACCCAGACUGGCAGCAUGACGGGUCAAAUACCAAGGCUUUCUAAAGUCAACCUCUUCACUCUGCUCAGUCUGUGGAUGGAGCUCUUUCCAGGAGCAGAAGCCCAAAGACAAAAAUCUCAGGUAUAAUUUGUUUCCAUCGUUAGUUCUUACCCUUAGCAAAGCAGUGACCUGUAUCGUUCU